GGCCAGGAGGGAGGGACAGGGACAGAAGGCUCAGGGCUUGCCCCAGCCACCAGGCGGUGGCUUCGCUGCUUGGAGGAGGACGUGCCUGGCCUCUAAGAGAUACCCAGCAGCGCGGAGCAGGUGCCAGCCCUCAGACCCAGAACAGCUACGUGCCAGGCCGCGCACAAUCAGACCAGAGGUCCCACUCUCCCACCAGCCCCGAAGAACGCUCACGCCGGGCGGGGCGGGAAGGGAGGGCAGGGACCCAGCUUCGCCCUCCGCCAUUGCCGCGGGCGCUGGCCCCGCCUCCGGCGCGUGAGGGAUGGGGCCUGGGGCUCGCCUGCUGGAUCGAGCGCGCCUUGGGUGUGGAACCGGGGACGGGGCGUGGAGCUGUGGCGGGAAGGGCGAGGGGGGCGGGGCCUCGCGCGGGGGCGGGGCUCAGGCCCAGCGGGCCGCGGCCUCUGACCACAUGGAGCGCGGCGCUCUGGCCGGAUUGAGGCGGCGGCCUGUGGAGGAGGAGCGGGGUGGCCUCCGGGACACGGGGCAUUUUAACCAUGCCAUGAACUGUUAGAAGAUACAAGUUGGCAAAGAAGGCCGAAUCCAGUCUUGGUCCUGAAUCCUCCGCAUGGUGAUGAAUGUGAAUCUCUUAUGGAUGGAUUUAAGGGCCCACCUGUUCAAAGAACAGCCUGGAUGUUAUUUCCUGGGAAACUGUUUGCUCUCUCAUUCAGAUAAUCCCCCAGUUCUCAGUUCUGGGGCCCAGAAGAUCAACACCACUUCAAAAUAACCUCCUUAUUGUUAUUCCUCACUCUUAAAAUAUGUCUUUUUGUAGAAGAGUGUGGAGUCAUUAAGUCAUGAUCAAUUUCGUAUUUUUUUUAAAAAAGAAAAGGUUGUCAGGAGGAUGACAAUUCCUCCAUGAGGAGGAAUUUCUUAGAAAUAUGAUGGCUUACAGUCCAUGCCCUGGAGUAAGCCUGCUUAGCUCCUGUUAGAUUAUUUUGUCAAGAGCACUGACUUGUGUAUAUUCAAGACCACUUGUGUCCAUUUUUAAUAGCAGAAAAUGUUAUUUUCAUAUUAUAAAUGUGAAAUUCUAUUCUGCAGCAUAAAACGGAAUUUUAUCAUGGGAGAAAUCACUCCAUUUUUGUAAUUCUUUAUUUGGCUGAAGGCAAAGGACCAUGUUUACAGUCAAAUGGAAACACCCUCUUUUGCCAGGAUUUUAAUUCUCCCAUUUCCAAUGCUUUAGGUGAUGGGUUUUGAGUUCAGAAAUCUCUGUGAGGGGCCUCAGUCAGACAGCUGCUCAGGCUUCCAGGGGAGUGUGAGCUGAUUAAGUCAGCCACAAAUUCUGGAAUGUUUCAGAAUCAAAAGUGGGAUGGAAUACCUUGUACUCCCCAUGCUCCCUGGAUGGAAUUCACAUGAGGCCAUGUUUUCUAUCUCUGUUCAAGGCCAUCUUGAUGAGCCCAAUGCGUAAGUCAUCACAGAUGACAUUUUCAUGUUGGGAAAAGGGAAGAAAUGGAAGGCAAACUGAUCGGAAGUGACUCUGCCGCUGCUUGUGGUCAGGAUUCUCUAACAUUACAAAGCAUAUUACAGUCAUCAAGAAAGACUUAGGUCUCUGCUGCCAGAAUCCUAAGGUCACUGGAUGGAUUUGGGUUUGGGAGAUUUAAAAACAAUAUUAUUAAUGCUUUUGAUGAUACAUGUAGGACCAAAAAAGCUGAGCAGACUCUGUGGAGAGGGACAGAUGACUCCCUUCAGGACCCCCCACAUGCUCCAGUAGGAUCCUUCCCAUGUCAGAGGGAUCUGAGGAGAGCCCUCAGUGCAUCCUAUAUGGGAAGGCUAGGGGAGGACGUGGAAAGAGGCUCAGAAGAUGAGUAGAUGUGGAUGGGCUGAGGUCCACACAAUAGGAGGCCAUGCCUUCCUCAGGGAGGUCAUGGAUUCAUUGGAGUGGAGGAAUGUGGUUCUCAAGGCCAUUUCGAUAUGCCCCCAACCACAACACCGAUGAAAGAGCCAAACAAACCAAAGGCCUCAUUGUCAUUUCAUUGUAAUCUGUUCGUGGGCAGUGGGAGACAGGUAGAGGAGGAGAACCCGCUGCAGCCCUUUUCAUACCCCAGGCAGAGCCACUUGAUGUUGCCUCCAUCAGCAUUGUUUCCUAAUGGUGUUGGUGAUACAUUGUAACCAAACUUAAUCAAGAAACUGGUGUGAUAUUCCACUAAUUGUCCCUGUGUAACCAUGUGUCCCUUGCUCUGUGGCACUCAUUGCAUGCCCCCAGAGUCACUUUUUACAGCACCAGUCAUUGAUGGUAGGUGGGCUACACUUACUCAACAAGUUUAUUUCUAUUUCUGUGCCAAAAGUGAGGAACUGCAAAAUGCUCAGAUGACACAAAGCCUUUACCACUAGCUAAUUCACAGACAUUGUAAAUGAAUCAGCACUAUCCGGUAUUUCAAAGUUUAAAGGCGAAGAGUGACUCGAAGGUCGUCUUUUUAAAAAUUGGGGUCAUAAGAUCAUAAAGUUCAACAGGGACCUUAGGCACCAGGAAGCCCAGUCCAAAGGAGGUGCAGUGACUUGCUCAAAGUCCCACCGAUUGCAGAUAUUUCAUAGCCUGUGAUUUCACAGAUGAAGAAACAAUCCCAUACAAGACAUGUGCUUGGUCGUCUAGCCAAUUAGUAACAUAGGCAAGAGUAGAAUUCAGAUCUCUUUGAGGUGGCACGAUGAGGGCUACGGAUCGACCAGACCUGGCUUCUGGUUGUGAUUCUGGCCCUUUUUAUUAGUAUGACCUUGGGCAAGUCCCUUUGAGUCUUGGUGUCUUCAUCUGCAAAAGAUAGAGUUGGACUAAAUGACCCCUGAGUGUCUUCCCAGUUCCAAACACAGUGCUCACCAAGCCUGGCUCUGUUUCCAUAGCUCCACCUUCUCAGACAUCCUGAUCCUGACCUUGAAACUCCUCCUUCACAAGAAAGAUUCGAGACACACACACACACACACACAGAGUAUGUGAGAGAAAGCCCGGGCCAGGGAAAGUAUUCCAUCUUGGAGCCAGUGUUGUUAUUCCCUUAUCUCAUAGAGCUUUGUGUCAUCGUUUUUUCUAAGCAGCUAGUUAGGUCUUUACAUGUUUAGUCUGUAUGUAUAUACAUAUACACAUACAUACAUACACACAAAAUAAACGUAUUGUCCCUAAUUAACUAGGCCA
rnacentral:lncRNA from 1 species